rnacentral:rRNA from 1 species
GACCAACGCUGGCGGCAUGCCUAACACAUGCAAGUCGAACGGACAGAACAGGGAAGCUUUUCGGAGUGGAACUGGAAAGUUAGUGGCGGAUGGGUGAGUAACGCGUGGACAACCUACCUUGUAAAGGGGAAUAACCUCGAGAAAUCGAAGCUAAUACCCCAUAAUAACCUUGCUUCGCAUGAAGUAAGGAGGAAAGGCGGCCUUAGCGCUGUCGAUACAAGAUGGGUCCGCGUCUGAUUAGCUAGUUGGUGAGGUAGAGGCUCACCAAGGCGACGAUCAGUAGCCGGCCUGAGAGGGUGAACGGCCACAUUGGGACUGAGACACGGCCCAAACUCCUACGGGAGGCAGCAGUGGGGAAUCUUCCGCAAUGGGCGAAAGCCUGACGGAGCAAUGCCGCGUGAGUGAAGAAGGCCUUCGGGUUGUAAAACUCUGUCCUUAUCGAAGAGAGAGUGUUGUAGUAACUGACAAUACUAGGACGGUAGAUGAGGAGGAAGCCCCGGCUAACUAUGUG